UAUUGGUGAUGCGAGCAAUCUCUGAGAAAAAAAUUGAAUCGCUCUUAUGCAUGAUAGAGAUUCUAAUCUGGAUUUUUUUUGAAACUCAAGAUCUCACUCCUCAACCU